UCUCCGGCUGGCGGAUCUGACACUGUCGAAAUGAGAUGCGAGUGGUGUAGGGUAGGCUCUAGGGUAAGUAGAAUUCUAGUUUCGUCGCCGACAGUUUUCUUUGGGUGUAUGGUAGGUACAGGGUAGGCAAAUCUCUCUCGGGCCAGUACUUGUCUGGUGGUCGUGAGUCGAUUUUUUUGUUUUGCCAUACUAUUGAAUUUUGCGGAAAUUCAAAAGUGGCUCGGGAGUCCCCGCCUGGCGAGCGUCCGACUCGAACAUCGUCGGUGUACAUAUGAGAGGGAGUAAUCCGGCCCGGCCGGGGCCCAUCGCGAGCUGCCGGGUAGGUAAAAGUNAAAAANUUGUUAAGAGGCGCGGUGUCCGCGUGCUUGUAUUUGCGGGAGGGAAUUAUCUGGGGGUGCUGGGUAGCCGGGAAGACUUGGACGGAUCUGGCCCUGGAAUGGGUCUGGGCCUGGAUUCUGGAGUGGUGUAGGGUAGGCGUAGAUAGAUGAGUGGUGUAGGGUAGAUACAGGGUAGCCAGAAGUCUGGUAUAUAGUAUGGGGGUGUAGGGUAGGUCUGGACACCGUUUUCCACUUCGCCCUUCCCUUUAGUCAAGGGAGGACGAUCUUGGCUGGGACGGAGGUGUAGGGUAGGCUUAAUUUACUAUUACAUGAUCUGUGUCACUCUAGGGUAGGUGAAAAUCCCAUAUAUAUCUGAUCACAUUUGGUGAAGAGGUGGUUUGGCUGGUGAGAUGGACAAAAGUGCAAUGUAGAAUUAUAUGNGAUUUUGCAAAANUNGGUGNAAAUUGGGAAAUCGGUUUUCCNNACAGNNNNNNNCACGUUNGAGGUGCCANAGA
rnacentral:misc_RNA from 1 species